CGCUCUGCUUCGUGUGUCCAAAUCCCUCUCACGUGGAUUUGUUUGUCUUUUAACUCAACAUCCUGCUUUGUUUUACUUUCCAAGCAAAAUCUGUUGAGAUUCCUGAUUUGCAUAUUCUAACGAGUUCACCCUUAUUUGCUUCUCGUCUGUGUAGCUUGUGUAUUAGAAUGUGCAGGAGGUAUUCUAGAAGGCUUAAUGGUUUGCAUUCAAAAUGACGUUGUUUGUCCAAAUUUUUUUCUGUCCUUAUAAUUGAGAUGGAUUAAUCUUAUCUUUUCUUGAUGAUUUGAAGUUGUAAGAGUUGUCCAGCUGUUGCUUAAUAAAAUUUUGCAGAUUAGAAAAAAAAAAUCAAUCACUUGUAAUUCAGAUGUGGUCCCAAGUCUUUUUGUGCAGAAUUCAGAUGUGGUCCUGAGUCCUUUGAGAAGAAAUUGCCUCUCCUUUGGCCCAACCCACCCUCUAGUGGUUCUCCGAUCCCUGGGUUUUGCCACCUGUUGCUCUUCAUCUGGGGUCUUUAUCAUCAGUGCUCCUUCUGAGAGGUCAGAUGUUGUGCUGAUUUCUUAUCUGUUGCUUUGAGUUUGUAUGUGUUUGUUUUUUCCUAAGAGGACCUGAUUCACGAUGCUUCUGUCAUAGCACCUACAAGAUCUAAGGUGCUAAAUGCCUUAAUGCUAUUCUUUGUUACCUUGUAGCAGACUUAAUAAAACCACCGUUUGAGCAGUUGCACUGCACGUGCUAAUAUAGCUGUUAAUAGUUAGUGUGUUACUAAGGAGUCUGCAUGCACCUUCUUGCUCUGCCCUAGAAUUCCCUCUGACCGUGAGAGGGAGGCAGGGGCUAGGACUCAUCUGUGAACACUGGUUCCUGUGCACAUUUACCAAACUACCUGUUUGGUUUCUUUUUUUGGGGCGGGGGGGGUUAUGUGACAUUUUUUAAAUUUUUUAUUGUAUAUAAUGAUUUUUAUUUUUUUCCAUUAUAGCUGGUUUACAGUGUUCUGUCAGUUUUCCACUGUGCAGCAUGGCGACCCAGUUACACUUACGUGUACACAUUGGUUUCUUCAGAGAUAAAGAAAAUAGACGUGUCACUCAGGCUUUAGGAGACAGAGAACCAAAACACACUGUCAACUCUAACAAAUGCUAAUCAUUAGUUAAGUUUUAGAAAAGUCAUAGGACUAUAAAUCUGUGAUUUAAAUAGCAAUAGUCAUACAAACCUAACUGAUCUGAAUUUUGUAUGAGUCAAAAAAGAUCUCAUUUUACUAUGAAAGUUUGUGAAUUUCAAGUUAAUAUUCCUUAUAUUUUCAUCACUUAAACCAGGUAGUAAGGAGACCUGAUCAAAAAUAAGCCCCUUCCUUCCUCACCGCCCCCCCCCCCCCCCCNCCCCCCCCGCAAAAAAUCAAGGGACCUGUCUGUGCUGAGGGCCGAGAUAGAAGUGGGCUCGCCGUCUCCGCCAGCCCAGCCCCACGGUCAGCCUCGGGGCCAUUCAGUGUGAGAUGGUGUCUUCAGAAGCAAUUUGUUUUGAAAGUAUGAAAACUUGGCAAAUUCCUUUCCUUCUGCAGACUUAUUUGAAGGGGAUGCAUUCUGCUUUUAUUCUGGUGUUCAGUGUUCUCUUCCUGGUAGUGUUAAGAGAAUAGGAAAUCAAUUUAGCUCUCAUUCCCUGGCCCCCAAAGCUCACCACAGAAGAGAAAGGGCUGCCUCACGGGGUUUGCAUCGCGUGUUUGGAGAAUGCACGGCCAACUCUCCAGACUCCGUUAUAAAGAGGAUACCUUUUGCCUGCCUUCCCUUUCAGAAGAAAAUUGAAGCUUCGAGAGGUUGAAAUAAUCCCCAGAUUCCAGAGACAAAAAACCAAUCCUGAAAUAGAAUCGAAGAUUUCUGGGUCACCUUAAUGACUAGACCUAGUUUAUUCCCAGCUUCUCACUCGGGUGUUUCAUAAUGAUUUGCCUGUAAUGAGCUCUGAGCUACUUAGUCAUCGCCCGUGAAGAGGGGCAGUGUAGGUGGGCAUCCCCCACCCCCACCCGUGCCCGUCAGCAGGUGCAGUCAUCCUCUCGAUGGCAAGGGUGCCUCCCUGUUCCUGGGUUGUCAGAAGACUGAGCAGUUACUCACCCAGGCAUCGCAGGGAGCAGUCUGUGUGAAUGUGCUUCCCUGCACGUUUUAUAAAUAGACUGGGUCACUUCGUUGUACAGCAGAAAUGAUCACAACCUUGUGAAUGAACUGUGCUGAAAAAGAAGCUGCUUCAUCUGCUGAAGAAAGUGAAACCGUGCGCAUGGAGAACACACUCACUUCGUACGUCUGCCUAGGGUUCCUGUUAGAGUAGCAGCUUCAAGAAAUAGAAGGUCCGCCAGCAUAGAAGCAGGACCCCGCAGGAAGCUGAGACAGGCGUGGAAGCAGUCAUUCCUCAUCUCUCUUCCUGGGUCCCUGCCUUUGCCACCACGUCCCUCCACGGGGGGCGGGCUCUCCACGCUCUGGCUGAUGUCAGAGCCGUUCCUGAUGCUUCGCCAGUGGGAGCUUUCAGUGCACUUGAAGACUUGUUCCUUGCGACCUUGUUGAGUCAGACUCCAUGGGAAAUUACAAAACUGUAGCAGAGAGUGUAUCGAGUUUGUCUUACGGAGAAAGAAACCCGAGGAAUUUCUGGAACCUAGCCACUGUUCAGGACAGCGGGCACAGGCUUUGCCAUGUGACGUGUCUAUUCCUUCCCUCAGGGUGGUAGUCAGAAGUUCCGAGAGCCUGUGUGUCCUGCGGUUCUUGCUCUGCCCCAGGCGCUCUCUGAGCACAGUGGUUGUGCAGCACGUUCACCGCAGAUGCAGCAGUAGCUCCCACCUCCCCUCCCCCCGCAAACACGGGCAGAGCUUGGAUGCUGAAGGCUGGCCGCACGGCAGUGUCUAGAAUGCUCCUCAGGUCGCCGUCUCUUCGUCAAGGCCGUUGUCUUAGUCGUUUCCACCACCCCAGCUACAGGUGCAGAGGGAACCUGGUGCCCACUUUUUGCGGCUGCUUCGAAGCAGAGGAAGGGGCCAGUCCUGGCCCCAUUCCCCACCGUGCACAGGGGACCAAGGGUCACCAGUCUCCGUUUCCUUUGGCCUCCGGCUCAUUCAGGCACUGUUGUGGCUUCUCCUUUCACGCGAGUUAACCCCCCAGGUUGUCACCCUGAAGGCCUUCCGUGACCAGCCUGUCAAACUCUUGCACUUGAUCCAGUGGUGGGAAACUCUUGCACUUGAUCCAGUGGUGGGAAACUCUUGCACUUGAGCCAGUGGUGGGAAACUCUUGCACUUGAUCCAGUGGUGGGAAACUCUUGCACUUGAGCCAGUGGUGGGAAACUCUUGCACUUGAUCCAGUGGUGGGAAACUCUUGCACUUGAGCCAGUGGUGGGAAACUCUUGCACUUGAUCCAGUGUGGUGGGUGCUCUCCCUGAUGUUAAGAGGAGAAGCCCUUUAAUCCUGAGUCCUGCGCUUCCCACGUCUGGUAUCAGGGACCCGGGCUUUCCAGUGAGACGUCUUCUUUCCCUCCCUGGAAGGAGGCCAAGCGGCCCGGACACCCCAGUGCUGGAGCCACGGGCCUGUGGGGGCCCCUCUGAGAAGGAGGAUUGUCCCUGCGGAAUUCCUUUCUUUCUUGGCAGGAGCACUGAGUCCCGGUCACACGUUCCUCAGGUCCCUGCACUGGACCAGGAGGCUCUGAAGCCCUCAGGUAGGGUUUCUUAGCCCUGAAGUUUGACUCUUAAGUCACAAAAGAAAAACACCUCUCUGACGGAAAGGGAUUGUCUCCACUCAGCCCAUUAGAAUAACCAGCGUCCAGCCGUGUGCAAGAAAGUUCCAUCAACACCACAAGAUUCGUUUGAGGACGCUGGACCCCAGGCCCGUGCGGAAGGCAAGAUGCAGUCCAAGCUGUGGAGCGCUGGGCUUCCAGAACUCUGGGGGUCUUGGCCUCCUCAGCCAGCGGAGUGGCCUCCCCUCCCCCUGGCCUCCGUUUCCGUCUCUUCCCACCCUCCGCUCUGCGAGGGCCUUGGGCCGAGCCGCCGAGCAUCCCUCCUUUCCAGCAGCUGCACCUCUGGGCGGGCGCUGAGCCUCUGGGAGGCUGAGCCUCACGACAGGCUUGUGAGGGCAUCGGCCCGUUUCCCCAUCAGUGUCCCCAGGAACCUCUCAGACUAGAUCCCUCCAGCUCCUGAGAAUGUCACAUCCCCCAAACCCAUUCGGUUUCUUGCAGGUAACUCCCUGGGUGGAUUCCGCCGCCCGUGGCUAGAAGCAGUGACAGUAAAACGCCUCAUUCUGUUGGGGUCCGUGUGGCUGCCCUGCCCUCUAAGGCCUGUGAGAGGCACAGGGUGCCCCAGGCAACCUCUUACUGUGUGUUUCAUGAUGUUAGUCUCUCCAGGUAAGUGUUAUUUAUCCAUGUGGAAUAAAGAACCGGACCUGUAUCAGAAAACAGCGUCUCAGGAGUUCCCAUUGUGGCUUGAUGGAAAUGAAUCUGACCAGGAACCAUGAGGGUGUGGCUUGGAUCCCUGGCCUCGCUCAGUGGGUUAAGGAUCCGGUGUUACUGUGAGCUGUGGUAUAGGUGGCAGACGCAGCUCGGAUCCCACGUUGCUGUGGCUGUGGUGUAGACUGGCAACAAUAGCUCCCAUUAGACCCCUAGCCCAGGAACCUUCACAUGCCAUGGGUGCGGCCCUAAAAAGCAAAAAAAAAAAAAAAAAAAAA
rnacentral:lncRNA from 1 species